GAUGAACGCUGGCGGCGUGCCUAAUACAUGCAAGUCGAGCGAACAGACGAGGCGCUUGCUCCUCUGACGUUAGCGGCGGACGGGUGAGUAACACGUGGAUAACCUACCUAUAAGACUGGGAUAACUUCGGGAAACCGGAGCUAAUACCGUAUAAUAUAUUGAUCCGCAUGGUUCAAUAGUGAAAGACGGUUUUGCUGUCACUUAUAGAUGGAUCCGCGCCGCAUUAGCUAGUUGGUAAGGUAACGGCUUACCAAGGCGACGAUGCGUAGCCGACCUGAGAGGGUGAUCGGCCACACUGGAACUGAGACACGGUCAAGACUACUACGGGAGGCAGCAGUAGGGAAUCGUACGCAAUGGGCGAAAGCCUGACGGAGCAACGCCGCGUGAGUGAUGAAGGUCUUCGGAGCGUAAAACUCUGUUAUUAGGGAAGAACAAAUGUGUAAGUAACUAUGCACGUCUUGACGGUACCUAAUCAGAAAGCCACGGCUAACUACGUG
rnacentral:rRNA from 1 species